rnacentral:lncRNA from 10 species
UGCUACUGUUGCAUAAAAACAGACACAUAAACCAAUGGAACUGAAUAGAGAACCUGAAAUAAACCCCUACAUCUUAAAGUGAAUUAAAGACUUAAAUGUAAGACCUGAGAUCAUAAAAUUCCUAGAGGAAAGUAUAGGGGAAAAUCUCCUUAGCAUUGCUCUUGGCAAUGAUUUCUUGAAUAUGACACCAAAAGCACAGGCAGGAAAAGCAAGAAUAAACAAGUGGAACUACCUCAAACUAGAAAGCUUCUGUAUGGCAAAGGAAACAAUCAACAAAAUGAAUAGGCAAACUACAGAGUAAGAGAAAAUAUUGCAAACCAUUAAUCCAAUGGGGAGUUACAUGGCUGAUACACCCAGUUUUCAUAUAAAGAAACCAAGCACAGAGGAAUUAAACAAAUCGUCCAAAGCCAAAGAGCUCAUGAGUGACUAAGCUAGGGUUGGUGCAACUCCAGAAGCCAUGCUCUUAACCACAAUGCAUGACUGUAUCUCCACAAACUAAAAACCUCAGUAAAUUGGUGACUACACAUGUAAAAUAUAAGAUAGCAUAACACCCCUUUCUUUCAAAGCUGAACACAGACUUCAUCUUUAACUUACUUUCCUGUCUUUGCAGAUACCUGAGGAAUUCACUCCUUUUGCUCCUGUCUCACUGCUUAAGCAGGGACAUCUCUUCUGAACUAUGCCAUCAGCUUUCCUGAGUCUCCAGUUUAUAGGCAGCACAUCAUGGGACUUCUCAGCCUCCAUAAUCCCGUGAGUCAAUUCCUUGUAAUAAAUCUCUCUCUCUGUUUCUCUCUCUCUCUCUCUCCUAUUGGUUCUGUUUCUCCAGAGGAGCCCAACUAAUACAUGGGUGAACCACACCCCUACC